UACGGAGGGUGCAAGCGUUUAUCCGGAUUCACUGGGUUUAAAGGGUGCGUAGGUGGGCAGGUAAGUCCGUGGUGAAAUCUCUGAGCUUAACUCAGAAACUGCCGUGGAUACUAUUUGUCUUGAAUGUUGUGGGAGGUGAGCGGAAUAUGUCAUGUAGCGGUGAAAUGCUUAGAUAUGACAUAGAACACCAAUUGCGAAGGCAGCUCACUACACAACUAUUGACGCUGAGACACGAAAGCCAGGGGAGCAAACGGG
rnacentral:rRNA from 1 species